rnacentral:rRNA from 1 species
UACGUAGGGGGCAAGCGUUGUCCGGAAUCAUUGGGCGUAAAGAGCGUGUAGGCGGCUCGAUAAGUCUGCUGUGAAAGUCCAGGGCUCAACCCUGGAAGGCCGGUGGAAACUGUCGGGCUAGAGUCCGGAAGAGGCGAGUGGAAUUCCCGGUGUAGCGGUGAAAUGCGCAGAUAUCAGGAGGAACACCGAUGGCGAAGGCAGGUCUCUGGGCCACUACUGACGCUGAGAAGCGAAAGCAUGGGGAGCGAACAGG